GUCAGCUAUAAAAGGCUUUGGGGUUGACAAAAUUGCAAACAAUUUAAAAGAGAAAACCAGGAAAAUAAAAAAAAAAGUGCCGAUCACGAAAACUUCACACUGAUUAUUUACGAAGUCGAGAUGUAGAAUCGUCUAUGAAAUGUGAAAUGGUACAACUAGAAUGAAAUUCCAGAUGCACAGAAGAGGAAUGGGACUCAACGGAAAAUAUUCGUUUUUACCCACUUGGAUACUAUCCGUGACAAAAAUUCAGCCAAGAUUUGCAUCGGAAAACAUAUUGUGGAUUAUAUUGUUGAAUUUUAGUGAAUACGAUACUAUAUUUUACACGAUGGAAUUACGACUCGCAAAUAAAAGCUGUUUGUUAAUAAUGAGAUA